UACAGGGGGUGCAAACGUUGCUCGGAAUUAUUGGGCGUAAAGCGCGCGUAGGCGGCCACUUAAGUCGGAUGUUGAAAGCCCUUGGCUCAACUGAGGAAGUGCACCCGAAACUGAAAUGGCUUGAGUUACUAAAAGAGGGUCGUCGGAAUUCCCGGUGUAGAGGUGAAAUUCGUAGAUAUCGGGAAGGAACACCGGUGGCGAAGGCGGCGACCUGGGUAGACUACUGACGCUGAGGCGCGAAAAGCGUGGGGAGCAAACAGGG
rnacentral:rRNA from 1 species